rnacentral:rRNA from 1 species
AACAAACGCUGGCGGCAGGCUUAACACAUGCAAGUCGAGCGCCCCGCAAGGGGAGCGGCAGCCGGGUGAGUAACGCGUGGGAACGUACCUUUUGGUUCGGAACAACUCCGGGAAACUGGAGCUAAUACCGGAUAAGCCCUAACGGGGAAAGAUUUAUCGCCGAAAGAUCGGCCCGCGUCUGAUUAGCUAGUUGGUGAGGUAACGGCUCACCAAGGCGACGAUCAGUAGCUGGUCUGAGAGGAUGAUCAGCCACACUGGGACUGAGACACGGCCCAGACUCCUACGGGAGGCAGCAGUGGGGAAUAUUGGACAAUGGGCGCAAGCCUGAUCCAGCCAUGCCGCGUGAGUGAUGAAGGCCUUAGGGUUGUAAAGCUCUUUUGUCCGGGAAGAUAAUGACUGUACCGGAAGAAUAAGCCCCGGCUAACUUCGUG